rnacentral:lncRNA from 1 species
GGGGCGCCAAGUUCGUCCAGCGGAAAAAGGCCACAAAAACGGGUGGGCUAUAGCCUUCGGGGGUGGGGGCUGGCCAACUUCGUCCGGCGGACUCGGAAUGCCGCGAGACUUUUUGAGGGGCCUCCGUGUGCCAAAAAUAGGCCACGGGCAAAGCUACGCCCAAAACUAACAACCCGAAGGCGGGGGCGCCAAUUUCGUCCUGCGGAAAAAGGCCACAAAAACGGGUGGGCUAUAGCCUUGGGGGGUGGGGCUGGCCAACUUCGUCCGCCGGACUCGGAAUACCGUGAGACUUUGCGAGGGGCCUCCGUGUGCCAAAAAUAGGCCGCGGGAAAAGCCGCGUCAAGAAAUAACCGCCCGAAGGCCGGGGUGCCAAGUUCGUCCAGCGGAAAAAGGCCACAAAAACGGGUGGGCUAUAGCCUUCGGGGGUGGGGCUGGCCAACUUCGUCCGCCGGACUCGGAAUGCCGCGAUACUUUGCGAGGGGCCUCCGUGUGCCAAAAAUAGUCCGUGGACAAAGCCGCGCCCAAAAAUAACCGCCCGAAGGCCGGGGCGCCAAGUUCGUCCAGCGGAAAAAGGCCACAAAAACGGGUGGGCUAUAGCCUUCGGGCGUGGGGCUGGCCAACUUCGUCCGCCGGACUCGGAAUGCCGCGAGACUUUUUGAGGGGCUCCGUGUGCCAAAAAUAGGCCACGGGAAAAGCUACAGCCAAAAAUAACAACCCGAAGGCCGGGGCGCCAAUUUCGUCCUGCGGAAAAAGGCCACAAAAACGGGUGGGCUAUAGCCUUGGGGGGUGGGGCUGGCCAACUUCGUCCGCCGGACUCGGAAUGGUGCGAGACUUUACGAGGGGCCUCCGUGUGCAAAAAAAAGGCCGCAGGCAAAGCCACGCCCAAAAAUUAAUGCCCGAAGGCCGGGGCGCCAAGUUCGUCCAGCGGAAAA